GAUGAACGCUAGCGGCAGGCUUAAUACAUGCAAGUCGUGGGGCAGCAUGGGGUAGCAAUACUCUGAUGGCGACCGGCAAACGGGUGCGGAACACGUACGCAACCUUCCCAAAACUGGUGAAUAGCCCUCCGAAAGGAGGAUUAAUACACCGUAACAUAACGAAGUGGCAUCACUUUGUUAUUAUAGCUCCGGCGGUUUUGGAUGGGCGUGCGCCUGAUUAGGUAGUUGGCGGGGUAACGGCCCACCAAGCCUACGAUCAGUAACUGGUGUGAGAGCACGACCAGUCACACGGGCACUGAGACACGGGCCCGACUCCUACGGGAG
rnacentral:rRNA from 1 species